rnacentral:tRNA from 1 species
UAAAUAUCUAAAAUUAAGUAUAUCAUUUACAAUGAUAAGAUGUUGAAUAAAACUUUAUUUAAAUUUAUUUUAUUAAUAUAAUUUUUUAUUUUUUU